rnacentral:ncRNA from 1 species
UCCACCGAGUUUAAGAAUAUUGCUAAGCGGAGGAAAAGAAACAAACCAGGAUUCCCUAGGUGAUGGUGAGUCAACGGGGGAGAAGCCCAACACGGAAUCUCGUCGGCCGCGCCGGUCGUCAAGAGCAAGAUUCGUACACGCUCGAUCGUUUCACCCUGCUAGGUUCGGAGUCCCCUCGAUCGGAGCUGCCCAGAGUGGGAGCCAGGCCCAUUCGGAGCCAGAGACGUUCUUCGGUUCGAGAGUCGAGUUGCUCGGGAACGCAGCCCAAAGCGGGCGGUACGCUCCAUCCAAAGCUAAAUACGGUGACAAGUUCGAUAGCUGACAAGUACCGCGCGGGUAAGUUGAAAAGAACUUUGGAGGGAGAGUUCAAGGCUACUUUCGACUAGGACGAGAUUACCCACGGAACUUAAGCAUAUCACUAAACGAAGGAAAAGAAACCAACCGGGAUUCCCUAAGUAACAGCGAGUGAGCAAUCUGACAGCUGACUGGAAAAGAAAAUAAUUAGGAAAAGCAGAAAUGUUAUUGUGCAACUUUGUGAUCCUAGAGAAACUUUUGAUAUAGUGAUUAGUGUAGGAGCUUGAAGGUGGAGAGGGAAAACGGCGGAAAAGGAAAUGAAUUAAAUUAAUGUAACGAAUGUUGUUGGCACUUCGGCGCUUACGACGUCGAGGGUUCCAGUUGAUCCUAUCAACGG